GAUGAACGCUGGCGGCGUGCCUAACACAUGCAAGUCGAACGGAGAUUACGGACGGAAGUUUUCGGAUGGAAGACUGUAAUUCUUAGUGGCGGACGGGUGAGUAACGCGUGGGCAACCUGCCCUAUACAGGGGGAUAGCAGCUGGAAACGGCUGGUAAGACCGCAUAAGUCGGCGAGACCGCAUGGUUUUGCCGGGAAAUGAGCAAUCAGGUAUAGGAUGGGCCCGCGUCCGAUUAGCCAGUUGGCAGGGUAAAAGCCUACCAAAGCAACGAUCGGUAGCCGGACUGAGAGGGCGGAAGGCCAAAUUGGGAAGGAGACAAGGGCCAAACUCCUACGGGAGGCAGCAGUGGGGGAUAUUGCACAAUGGAGGAAACGCUGAUGCAGCGACGCCGCGUGAGUGAAGAAGUAUUUCGGUAUGUAAAGCUCUAUCAGCAGGGAAGAUGAUGACGGUACCUGACUAAGAAGCCCCGGCUAACUACGU
rnacentral:rRNA from 1 species